UGCAAGUCGCACGGAAGCUUCGGCUUCAGUGGCGGACGGGUGAGUAACGCGUAGGUAUCUGUCCACGGGUGGGGGAUAACUCCGGGAAACUGGAGCUAAUACCGCAUGAUACCUGAGGGUCAAAGGCGCAAGUCGCCUGUGGAGGAACCUGCGUUCGAUUAGCUAGUUGGUGGGGUAAAGGCCUACCAAGGCGAUGAUCGAUAGCUGGUUUGAGAGGAUGAUCAGCCACACUGGGACUGAGACACGGCCCAGACUCCUACGGGAGGCAGCAGUGGGGAAUAUUGGACAAUGGGCGAAAGCCUGAUCCAGCAAUGCCGCGUGUGUGAAGAAGGUCUUCGGAUUGUAAAGCACUUUCGACGGGGACGAUGAUGACGGUACCCGUAGAAGAAGCCCCGGCUAACUUC
rnacentral:rRNA from 1 species